GGAAAGGUUCUUCUUCCUUCUAGCCAUGCAAAUAUCUGGCCUCUUUAAGUAUCUAUAUAGAGUAUGAGAAUAGAUCAACAACAUUUUGAUUUUUUGGGGUACUAGCUUUCUUUCGGAACCUUUGCUUAAUGGAGGAUGUUCUCAAUGCCUUAAGAAUAGCAGUAGGAGAACAGCAUCUUCAAGACCCUUCUUGCUGAAAUCUGAAUUUCAGCAACACAAAGAAGAGAAGAGAGAAGCUUUGGAGCAUAGAGGAGAGGGA
rnacentral:lncRNA from 1 species